rnacentral:SRP_RNA from 1 species
CCGUGCUAGGCGGGGAGGUAGCGGUGCCCUGUAUCUGCAAUCCGCUCUAGCAGAGCUGAAUUCCCUCCCGAGGGACACCGGCUCCCGAGGCCAGCGUGCUGUACGAAGACGUUGAUGGCCGGGUCCCGCGCGGUGACGGCCCGCGAACCAGGUCAGGUCCGGAAGGAAGCAGCCUUAAACGGUUCCCGUCACGCGUUGCGGGGGUGCCUGGCCGGAGUCGAUCGGCAGAAACGCGCUCGGGAACCUGUCUCGACGGAGGGUGCACGG